rnacentral:misc_RNA from 1 species
GAUGAAGAACGUAGCGAAAUGCGAUAAGUAAUGUGAAUUGCAGAAUUCAGUGAAUCAUCGAAUCUUUGAACGCACAUUGCGCCCGCCAGUAUUCUGGCGGGCAUGCCUGUUCGAGCGUCAUUACAACCCUCAGGCCCCCGGGCCUGGCGUUGGGGAUCGGCGGAAGCCCCCUGCGGGCACAACGCCGUCCCCCAAAUACAGUGGCGGUCCCGCCGCAGCUUCCAUUGCGUAGUAGCUAACACCCCGCAACUGGAGAGCGGCGCGGCCACGCCGUAAAACACCCAACUUCUGAAUGUUGACCUCGAAUCAGGUAGGAAUACCCGCUGAACUUAAGCAUAUCAAUAAGCGGAGGA